rnacentral:rRNA from 1 species
AUUGAACGCUGGCGGCAGGCCUAACACAUGCAAGUCGAGGGGAGCGGCGGACGGGUGAGUAAUGCCUAGGAAUCGGCCUGGUAGGGGGGAGGAAGGUACGGAAACGGGCGCUAAUACAGCAUACUAGCAGAUGAGCCUAGGUCGGAUUAGAUAGUUGGGGGGGUAAGGGCCUACCAAGGCGACGCACCGUAACUGGGCUGAGAGGAUGAUCAGUCACACUGGAACUGAGACACGGUCCAGACUCCUACGGGAGGCAGCAGUGGUGAAUAUUGGCCAAUGGGCGAAAGCCUGAUCCAGCCAUGCCGCGUGUGUGAAGAAGGUCUUCGGAUUGUAAAGCACUUUCAGUUGGGAGGCGUUACCAACAGAAUAAGCACCGGCUAACUUCGUGCCAGCAGCCGCGGUAAUAC